rnacentral:rRNA from 1 species
AUUGAACGCUGGCGGCAGGCCUAACACAUGCAAGUCGAACGAGUGGCGGACGGGUGUGUAAUGUCUGGGAAACUGCCUGAUGGAGGGGGAUAACUACUGGAAACGGUAGCUAAUACCGCAUACCAUCAGAUGUGCCCAGAUGGGAUUAGCUAGUUGGUGGGGUAACGGCUCACCAAGGCGACGAUCCCUAGCUGGUCUGAGAGGAUGACCAGCCACACUGGAACUGAGACACGGUCCAGACUCCUACGGGAGGCAGCAGUGGGGAAUAUUGCACAAUGGGCGCAAGCCUGAUGCAGCCAUGCCGCGUGUAUGAAGAAGGCCUUCGGGUUGUAAAGUACUUUCAGUGGGGAGGCGUUACCCACACAAGAAGCAACGGCUAACUCCGUGCCAGCAGCCGCGGUAAUUC